rnacentral:rRNA from 1 species
AACGAACGCUGGCGGCAUGCCUAACACAUGCAAGUCGAACGAGACCUUCGGGUCUAGUGGCGCACGGGUGCGUAACGCGUGGGAACCUGCCCUUAGGUUCGGAAUAACUCCCCGAAAGGGGUGCUAAUACCGGAUAAUGUCUUCGGACCAAAGAUUUAUCGCCUUUGGAUGGGCCCGCGUUGGAUUAGCUAGUUGGUAGGGUAAAAGCCUACCAAGGCGACGAUCCAUAGCUGGUCUGAGAGGAUGAUCAGCCACACUGGGACUGAGACACGGCCCAGACUCCUACGGGAGGCAGCAGUGGGGAAUAUUGGACAAUGGGCGAAAGCCUGAUCCAGCAAUGCCGCGUGAGUGACGAAGGCCUGAGGGUUGUAAAGCUCUUUUACCCGGGAUGAUAAUGACAGGACCGGGAGAAUAAGCUCCGGCUAACUCCG